rnacentral:rRNA from 1 species
UGUGCCAGCAGCCGCGGUAAUACGUAGGGUGCAAGCGUUAAUCGGAAUUACUGGGCGUAAAGCGUGCGCAGGCGGUUCGCUAAGACCGAUGUGAAAUCCCCGGGCUUAACCUGGGAACUGCAUUGGUGACUGGCGGGCUAGAGUAUGGCAGAGGGGGGUAGAAUUCCACGUGUAGCAGUGAAAUGCGUAGAGAUGUGGAGGAAUACCGAUGACGAAGGCAGCCCCCUGGGCCAAUACUGACGCUCAUGCACGAAAGCAUGGGGAGCAAACAGGAUUA